GACGAACGCUGGCGGCGUGCCUAAUACAUGCAAGUAGAACGCUGAAGGAGGAGCUUGCUUCUCUGGAUGAGUUGCGAACGGGUGAGUAACGCGUAGGUAACCUGCCUGGUAGCGGGGGAUAACUAUUGGAAACGAUAGCUAAUACCGCAUAAUAGCAGUUAUUGCAUGAUAACUGUUUGAAAGGUGCAAUUGCACCACUACCAGAUGGACCUGCGUUGUAUUAGCUAGUUGGUGGGGUAACGGCUCACCAAGGCGACGAUACAUAGCCGACCGGAGAGGGGGAUCGGCCACACUGGGACUGAGACACGGCCCAGACUCCUACGGGAGGCAGCAGUAGGGAAUCUUCGGCAAUGGACGGAAGUCUGACCGAGCAACGCCGCGUGAGUGAAGAAGGUUUUCGGAUCGUAAAGCUCUGUUGUAAGAGAAGAACGAGUGUGAGAGUGGAAAGUUCACACUGUGACGGUAUCUUACCAGAAAGGGACGGCUAACUACGUG
rnacentral:rRNA from 1 species